AUUUAAAUAGCUUAUAUAUAUAUAGAGCAUAAUAUUGAAGAUAUUAGGGAGAUUUUUAAUCUUUAAAUA
rnacentral:tRNA from 1 species